GACGAACGCUGGCGGCGUGCCUAAUACAUGCAAGUCGAGCGAACGGACGAGAAGCUUGCUUCUCUGAUGUUAGCGGCGGACGGGUGAGUAACACGUGGAUAACCUACCUAUAAGACUGGGAUAACUUCGGGAAACCGGAGCUAAUAGCGGAUAAUAUUUUGAACCGCAUGGUUCAAAAGUAAAAGACGGUGUUGCGGUCACGUAUAGAGGGAUCCGCGCUGCAUUAGGUAGUUGGUAAGGUAAAGGCUUACCAAGGCUACGAUGCAUAGCCGACCUGAGAGGGUGAUCGGCCACCCUGGAACUGAGACACGGUCCAGACUCCUACGGGAGGCAGCAGUAGGGAAUCUUCCGCAAUGGGCGAAAGCCUGACGGAGCAACGCCGCGUGAGUGAUGAAGGUCUUCGGAUCGUAAAACUCUGUUAUUAGGGAAGAACAUAUGUGUAAGUAACUGUGCACAUCUUGACGGUACCUAAUCAGAAAGCCACGGCUAACUACGUG
rnacentral:rRNA from 1 species